rnacentral:rRNA from 1 species
UAAUACGGAGGGUGCGAGCGUUAAUCGGAAUUACUGGGCGUAAAGCGUGCGUAGGCGGUUGUUUAAGCAAGAUGUGAAAGCCCCGGGCUCAACCUGGGAACUGCAUUUUGAACUGGGCAACUAGAGUUUUGUAGAGGGUGGUGGAAUUUCCAGUGUAGCGGUGGAAUGCGUAGAGAUUGGAAGGAACAUCAGUGGCGAAGGCGGCCACCUGGACAAAGACUGACGCUGAGGCACGAAAGCGUGGGGAGCGAACAGGAUUAGAUACCCUGGUAGUCCACGCCGUAAACGAUGUCAACUAGCUGUCUGUGGUCUUGAACCGUGGGUAGCGCAGCUAACGCAUUAAGUUGACCGCCUGGGGAGUACGGCCGCAAGGUUA